rnacentral:rRNA from 1 species
AAACUGAAGAGUUUGAUCCUGGCUCAGAUUGAACGCUGGCGGCAUCCCUAACACAUGCAAGUCGAACGGUAACAGGCCCUUCGGGGUGCUGACGAGUGGCGGACGGGUGAGUAAUGCGUAGGAAUCUUCCCCAAAGUGGGGGA